CUGGGGAGAUACAGCUUUGAAAGAAGAUAAGAGGAAGGGACAGAAUGAAGGUUCAGGGCAAUGAUGGGGUGAGCGAUCAUUUCUGCAUCAUGCAGUGACUUUGAAUUUGGCUGGUAGGUGGGGAGGACAGUCAUCCCUUUCAGCACAUGACGGCAUCCUUAGCAAUAAGAAGUUACAAAGAAAGGAAACUUGAACCUAAGGCAGCACUUUGCUGAUGGGAAACUGUCUUUUCCUAGAAAUGCAAUUUCCAAAUGAGGUUUGAAAGAUCUGGUCCCAGUGCUGGGAUCAAACCAUGGUGGAGCCCUGCAUGCACCAUGUUGUGCUGGGGCAAAGGCUGGAUCUCUGGAUCCUCAGCCCCAUAGAGCACAGUGAGUUCUGGCCACAGCUCAGAUCCGGCACUGAUUGUGGAGGCUCAUCUAAAAAUCUGGCUCAUCUAAUGGAGGAAUAAUUGAAACAGUCAGAAUUAUUAUUCUACUUGCUCAGUUCUCCUUCAUAUCAAAAAUGCAUUUCCCCCUCUAUGCUCUAAUUAAAAACUAAAGGAGGAGGAGGAAACCAAUAAUGCCAAUUACACAUUUGGCUUAUGAAAAAGAAAAGAAAAGCACACUCUAAUGCGUUUGUGGACAAUAAGUAGGAAAUGAUUCACGCUUAAUAAACCUCUUUGCUGUUAAUCUCCCUUAACCUAGGGGUUCUGUUACUUAUAUUGAAAAGUCUCCUCACUUUCUGUCAGGUUAUUGCAAGGAGCAAAUUUUCAUUAUUACUUUUUGUGGGGGCUAAGGCACCUGCUGCCUCUGGGGCACUGUGCAGCAAACACAGAGCAUGCAGCCCAGUCACUGUCAUGGUGAAAGUGUUUUAUCACUCUUGUGUUCCUCUCAAUCACCAAAGUGUUGGGAGAAGCAGAAGAGGAUGUCCCAGGCCACGCGCUGGCACUGAAGAGGGCUUUUCAGUAGGCAAACCUACCAUACUCUGUCCAAAUCAUGGCUAUGGGCAGGUGUGGAAGGGCUGCUGGGGUGGGCUGCUCAUGAAGGCUGUUGGAAUUCACCACUAGAAAGGUUUCUGAGUGGGUUUCAACCACCCAGAGGGCUAAGGAUGAGUCUGGGAUGAGUCUGGAGGAAAGGAUCCCAAAGCUCACCACCUCACUGGAAUGCUCAGGGCAGAGGGGACGGAUGCGAUUAGCACACUGUGUUAAAAACAUAUUUUUCUCGUGUGAUGCACAGACUUUCACAGCUUUCUCAUCCCAUGGAGGAAUGCCCAGAAGCUGAUGUUAUGCUGUUAUUGAGGAGUGUGUGUGCGUGUGUGGGGAGGGGGGGGGGCUGCAGAACAGAUACUGCUGACAAUUUCUCAUGCUUAAUGAUUUUCUUCCCAGCAGUGUCAUUCUCUGACCUCUGCCUUGUCCCUGGGUUUCAUGUAUUCAAAGAUUUCUUGACUUCGGUCUUUGACAUUAAAUUCCUCCAUGGUUAUUCUGAAGGAGCCAUGGCAGUAGAGGCCGAGUGACUCAUCCUGUCUGUAAGAGACAUCCUGGGAGGAUGUAGAUUCAGUGCCAUCAGUGUCACUGAGAGCUGAAGAUAUAUAACUGAGCCUCUGCUGCAUGUAUACGGCCAGGUCAAGGUCCUAAUACAUGAAAAAUCUAUCCUUGGAAGCACAUACCCCUACUCAAACAAUUCAAACACCAGGAUUUCAACACGGGGCAGAUUGAUUGUAAGAAUUCUUCACAGGUGUUGAAGUUCUGCAGCCACCACCAGUUCACAGGUGAUGUGACUGGACCUACCCAGGUGGGAGAAGAUAAGUAGAAGAUGCCCAGAGGUGGUGGGUCCUCCAGGUGUUGUGAAGGCCCAGGAGGAGCAGCAGAGAUCUGAGCCUGUAGAUCUGAAGAGCUCCCAAAGCACUGUAGAUCGAAGCUUUACAUAACUUCAGGAGCCAACGGCUUUGUGAGGGAAUCCCACUAACAGGAGCUGUGUCAGUGCCAUCGGCAGUUCCAAUUCUGUGAUAAAAUGCACACGCUGUUUGCAUUCUACCAGUAUGAAUUCUGCUGGAUCUUUGUCACAGAGGUUUCAGCUUUUGCAGGGAGUCUUUUGAAGACCUUGCCCUAAUUGUGAAGCAAUUCCAGUGACACUUUAAAUUAUGGGGGCCCUGCCUCCAUCACUGAGCAGGCUGCCUGAUGCAAAUCAAUGGGCAGCAAUUCAGAAAUCUGUUUUCUUCCUGUCAUUCAGCAUGUGGCCCCAGUCCUUGUUUACUGCACGCUGCUUAGCUUUACUGUAAAGAUGAAAUACUCUUUCCACCUGGGUUUUUCCAUGACACUCAUUACAGCAGUAGUGUUUAUUUCACACGCAAGCAAUUAAUUAAUUUGUCUCUCUGAAGCCCAGUAAGGCACACUAGAAGCAUUAUUACUUUAUAGACAAGGAACAGAGACACAGAGAGUCAUUCAAGAACGUCAAUUAACUUGGGAUGCUGAACGUGACAUGCUCAAGGGCUGAUAUCUCCAUGCAUAUAAUGGGGCUUCGCAGGCUUAGUGCCCCUGUACAUUUCAGCGCCAACAGGGCUGGACAGCAAUGGGCAGAUGGAGAAAUCGGAUGGGAGAUGCCAGAUGAAUGCAAGUCCUUGGCCAAGACUUGCAAGAUCUGAAGGUGCAGAGAGCUUUAAAAGAAAGAGCUGAAGGGAAGCAGUGAUGUGACUUCGUGGGUGCCUCUUGCUAUGAUUUAGUGCUGUGUGUGUACUCAGGUACCAGCUUAGAUUGCAGCCAGGCAUCACUCCUGUCACUAAAUUUGUCCCACACACUGCGUGGAUAGCCCACAGACUGAUCAGAAGAGGACAAAACAUCUCUCCUCUCUCACUUGGACUACAGCAUACAUGAGAAACUCACAUGACAAUUGUAUUACCCAGAACUUGCAUGAUGACUUUGCACACCAUAAAGUCUGGGCAGUCACAGGAGUGCAACUGCAGGGGCCCUCCUUGGCUUUCUUCAGAUCACAAUUUGUCAGCUCCCAUCCCAGAAAUGAGAGUCCUGAGAAUGACUGCAGAAACUUUUACUUGUCUGAGGUCCAGGAGUAUUUAUGUAAUUUAAUCGAUGAACCGCAUUGAUUUAUUUGCACUAAGUAACUCCUUGGGAUCUGGAUAAUAGAUAAGGGUGUGCACAGUGCUGUACAAACACAUCAUAAAUAAAUGUAACUUGCAAAUCAA